rnacentral:rRNA from 1 species
UGCAGUCGAACGAACCUUCGGGUUAGUGGCGGACGGGUGAGUAACGCGUGAGAAUCUGCCCUCAGGAGGGGGAUAACGGCUGGAAACGGCCGCUAAUACCCCAUAUGCCGAGAGGUGAAAUGAAUUUCGCCUGAGGAUGAGCUCGCGUCUGAUUAGCUAGUUGGUGGGGUAAAGGCCUACCAAGGCUACGAUCAGUAGCUGGUCUGAGGGGAUGAUCAGCCACACUGGGACUGAGACACGGCCCAGACUCCUACGGGAGGCAGCAGUGGGGAAUUUUCCGCAAUGGGCGAAAGCCUGACGGAGCAACGCCGCGUGAGGGAUGAAGGCCUCUGGGCUGUAAACCUCUUUUCUCAAGGAAGAAGAACUGACGGUACUUGAGGAAUAAGCCACGGCUAAUUCCGUGCCAGCAGCCGCGGUAAUACGGGAGUGGCAAGCGUUAUCCGGAAUUAUUGGGCGUAAAGCGUCCGCAGGCGGCCUCGUAAGUCUGUCGUUAAAGCGUGGAGCUUAACUCCAUUUCAGCGAUGGAAACUGUGAGGCUUGAGUGUGGUAGGGGCAGAGGGAAUUCCCGGUGUAGCGGUGAAAUGCGUAGAUAUCGGGAAGAACACCAGUGGCGAAGGCGCUCUGCUGGGCCAUAACUGACGCUCAUGGACGAAAGCCAGGGGAGCGAAAGGGAUUAGAUACCCCUGUAGUCCUGGCCGUAAACGAUGAACACUAGGUGUCGGGGGAAUCGACCCCCUCGGUGUCGUAGCCAACGCGUUAAGUGUUCCGCCUGGGGAGUACGCACGCAAGUGUGAAACUCAAAGGA